GUGAGGCUGAGGACGCGGGCUUUGUUUAUGUGGGUGCAGUGUGGCAACAGGACGGGCUGAGUAAUAUCGAACAGGUGUUUGAUGGAUUGAUGUGGACACUAGUGGCCUCCACCGAAAUCUUUAGAGCUGGGUCAUGUUUGUGUCCUUUUUCUGCUUCCUUAUCACCGUUCUCUGGUUCUUCAUAUUUAUUUCUUCCAUAAAUACCACAGAAUAGGGUAGAGUCUUAUUGGGCACAUGCUUUGUGAUGACAAAGAUAUGAGAAGGGUUUUGUCUUCCCUUUUUGCUAUCGUAUCUAUGCUCGCUUGUAAGGUUAGCUGCAGUCUAUUAUUUGUUAUUUAACAUUUUUGUUCACUGCUGUUCGCCAACAGACAAACUUGAGAAGCCCUGUAAUGAAGCAAGAAGGCUCCAUAAACAGAGUGCAAACUGAAUUUAGUGCUCUUUGUGCACACAAAUCUAAAGCAACUGUCAAAAACACAGUACAUGGCAUUUCUCGGUGAGAGGCUGUGUGUCGGACAGAUCGACUCUUACAGAAACUUACCUUUGUCUGAGUGGCUGGUGGAUCUGGUGUCUGAUGAAGACACACAUACACACACCUGGUUGCUCAUGGGAACACUCGUAGUGUUGCACAGCUCCAAACAAUGCCUGUUUGUUUCUCUUCUGAUCUGGUUACCUACGGUAACAAUUACAUGAAAUUUUUAUAAACGAUAUGUUUUUCUUUUGCUUCCACUGGUAGCCACGGUUCACCAUCACUGCUAUGUAAACAAUAGGACAGUCAAUCGAUUAAAACACUGAAUCGAAUUAAUUACAAUAUGCUGUGCAAGGUAUUUAAGAUAUCUCUUAUACAUUACUUCUGCAGACGUAGUAUAUAUAAAAUAACAUUUUAAAUAAGAUCUCAUCGUGAGCAGUAAGGUCAUAAUUGCACGGUAAGAACUAGUACCUCUUCUGUAAAGUUGCAUUAAGAGAUUUCCUUCACGCCUAAAAUAAAACAAAGCAAUGCACAAAUAAAAAUGUGGGUGCAACAUCAA